AGUGAACGCUGGCGGUAGGCCUAACACAUGCAAGUCGAACGGCAGCACAGGAGAGCUUGCUCUCUGGGUGGCGAGUGGCGGACGGGUGAGGAAUACAUCGGAAUCUACUCUGUCGUGGGGGAUAACGUAGGGAAACUUACGCUAAUACCGCAUACGACCUACGGGUGAAAGCAGGGGACCUUCGGGCCUUGCGCGAUUGAAUGAGCCGAUGUCGGAUUAGCUAGUUGGCGGGGUAAAGGCCCACCAAGGCGACGAGCCGUAGCUGGUCUGAGAGGAUGAGCAGCCACACUGGAACUGAGACACGGUCCCGACUCCUACGGGAUGCAGCAGUGGGGAAUAUUGGACAAUGGGCGCAAGCCUGAUCCAGCCAUACCGCGUGGGUGAAGAAGGCCUUCGGGUUGUAAAGCCCUUUUGUUGGGAAAGAAAUCCAGCUGGCUAAUACCCGGUUGGGAUGACGGUAUCCAAAGAAUAAGCACCGGCUAACUUCGUGCCAGCCGCCGCGGUAA
rnacentral:rRNA from 1 species